CAUCGUAAUGCCAUAUAUCAUGGGAUAUCCCUUUGGCCAGUUUGGGUCAGCUGUCCUGGUUGUGCCCCUCCCAGCUCCUUGUGCACCCUCGGCUCCUUGCUGGCAGGGCAGUGUGAGAAGCUGCAACGUCCUUGGUUCUGUGCAAGCACUGCUCUGUAACAACUAUGUCAUUGGUGUGCUGUCACCACUAUUUUCACCAAAAAAUCCAGUACAAUACAAAAAAAAAUCCAAUACAGUAUUGAUAUAUAGUAUAGGUAUGCUUCAGUUAGGAACAAAGAGGAUACUCAGAGCUGUAUACUAAUUGGGCUAAUUUCAACAUUUCAGAAAGCAGAUUUACUGAAGCAAAUACUUCAACAGCUGAUCUGCACGCACUUGGGAGAUAAGAACAGAUUUUUCUUGUACUGAUAGUGUUCAGCUGAUGUAUUUCUGCCAGUCCUGGCUUGGGCAGAUUGUUGUUAAUCUGAACCAUGAAAGCAUUCAGUAUCUGUGACAACUGGGCUGUUUUCUCUAAGGAGCUGGGAACAUCACUUAAAGCUCAUAGGAAGAUGGAGCUAUUCUUCCUGCUGGGACUGUUCCCAAGGCAGGGCUGCUCUCUGGUUCACUGAAGAAGUACAGUACUCUACAAUUGGAUGUACUCUUCUGGGAGUGCAGGGGUGUUGUUUAUAUUUACCUGCCUGAAGAUCAUCACAGCUGUACUGUUAAUGCACAGUACUAAUUAAAAGCCAGUUUUUCAGCCAUAUUUUUCCAUAUUGAGAUAUACCAUUGAUACAUCAGAGGGUAUGUAAUCAUCUAAUUCUAAAGGUGGAAAUCAGAGUGUGUACUUAGACCUGGUAUGUGGAUAAGAAUCCAGAAUGUCUAAACAUAUGGAUGCCUCGCAUUAGAAUGCUCUUUGUAGCUGCUGAUAAUCAACCAGACUUUCUGGAAUGACAGUCUAUUCAUGUCUCUUAGUCUGGUCAUACUGCUUCAUUAGAAGGCUAGCUACCAGGAUAUAAGACCUCAGAUGAAUCCGAGCUGGCCCUCCUUCUCUUGAUGGUAUCCCUUAUUCACAUCUUUGCUGGUGAGUGGCAUUAUGCAUGCAGUAUGAGGCAUACUGAGGCAGUAGGAAUUCUCUUUUAAUGAUAAGAAGAUACAUGCGUGCAUGAUGAACUUGGCAUCAUUCAAAUAUGAAGGGACUUCUUGGGACAGAGGAGAGUCAUGAAAGAUACUACAAUAACCUUGCAGAUGACCCUUAGGUUUUGGAGGUCAAAAAAACAAGCUGAGGAUCAUCAGCAUUUGGCCUAGGAUGGCAGCAGGAAGCAACUGUCACUGUCAGUAAGCUAAAUCUGGUAUGCUUGGCUGUAUUUCCGAAGACUGCAUAAAACUGUUAUCAGAAGGUUGUGUCAAAAGCUGUAGCAAAGCUGUAACAUUUAGUCCUUUUGCAUCUUCCCUCUCUACAAGGUCUGUUGUUACUCUGAUCACUUGCUAAGAUUUA